UGGACAGAUGGGUGAGUGGCCGAAACCACACCCCUGCUAAGGGUGCAGCUUCUAACCGGGGCUCGAGGGUUCAAAUCCCUCUCUGUCCGCCAC
rnacentral:tRNA from 2 species